UACGUAGGAGGCGAGCGUUGUCCGGAGUUACUGGGCGUAAAGGGUGCGCAGGCGGCGGUUCGCGUGGAUAGAUGAAAUCUCCUGGCUUACCUGGGAGGAUGGUAUCCAGACGGGAUCGCUUGAGGGUCGGAGAGGGGCGUGGAAUUCCGGGUGGAGCGGUGAAAUGCGUAGAGAUCCGGAGGAACACCGACGGCGUAGGCAGCGCCCUGGACGACACCUGACGCUGAGGCACGAAAGCCAGGGGAGCGAACGGG
rnacentral:rRNA from 1 species